rnacentral:rRNA from 1 species
GAUGAACGCUGGCGGCGUGCCUAAUACAUGCAAGUCGAGCGAACAGACGAGGAGCUUGCUCCUCUGACGUUAGCGGCGGACGGGUGAGUAACACGUGGAUAACCUACCUAUAAGACUGGGAUAACUUCGGGAAACCGGAGCUAAUACCGGAUAAUAUAUUGAACCGCAUGGUUCAAUAGUGAAAGACGGUUUUGCUGUCACUUAUAGAUGGAUCCGCGCCGCAUUAGCUAGUUGGUAAGGUAACGGCUUACCAAGGCGACGAUGCGUAGCCGACCUGAGAGGGUGAUCGGCCACACUGGAACUGAGACACGGUCCAGACUCCUAAGGGAGGCAGCAGUAGGGAAUCUUCCGCAAUGGGCGAAAGCCUGACGGAGCAACGCCGCGUGAGUGAUGAAGGUCUUCGGAUCGUAAAACUCUGUUAUUAGGGAAGAACAAAUGUGUAAGUAACUAUGCACGUCUUGACGGUACCUAAUCAGAAAGCCACGGCUAACUACGU